ensembl:lncRNA
GAAGCUACUGUCAGGCAGAUACACACUUUCCUCCAAAUUGGUGUCAUCUGCAAACUUACCAAGUGUGCACUCAAUCCUGUUGUCUUUCCGCUUGUUUCAAUUGUACUCCAAUCGAAUUGGCAACUGGGUUCUUACCACUUUCUCUAUCACAUAUGAGACAAGAUUUCUCCUCCAUUUGUCUGGAUAAGGUGCCCCAGUUCGCUACAGUGCACACAAAUUCCAUCUUCUGGUAAUGACUGUCUACUAGCAUGAUUGGUGAGAACACUCUGAACGUGGGAAGAGUUCUGGCUGGAGGACAAGUCGAAUGAAAGCAGGAGGCUUCAGAGAGCUCGCUGUUCCCUCCAAAAUCUGUUCUGCUAUGCAUUUUCUUUGUUCUUUCAUUCAUCCUGCUCCCUUUUUCCCCUCAAGGGAGGAGCAACAAGCUGCAAGAACAGAUGUUCCUAAUUUUAUUAGACACUUCAUACUGAUACACAGAGCUUUACUUCCUAGUUAAGCAAUGACAAGGCUCACUGUAUCUCACAGGAGCAGCAUGAUUCUCAAGAGGGGCUAAUAUAUACAUAUAACGGUCCAAGACUGUAUUUCUUAUGUAAAUAGAAAAACAUAAAUAGCAUUUUUAUGCACUUAGUAGAAUCAGUGCCAAAGAUUACUGAACAUGAAUUUGUAGCCAAGAAGCAUAAUCAAGUGUUCUUUAAUAAAAAAAAUAUAUAAUAUAACGUUAUUGUAUGACACAUAGAUGCAAAAUCCUCAGUUUUAAAAUGUGCCUUUCAUAAGCAUUCAGAAUUGAUUAUUUUUUAUGGAUUUUCUGAAAUGUUAAGUAUAAAACAAGUUCAAUCCAUAGAUCCAUUUUUUUCCUUUUAUUUAUCUUUCUUCUUUAUCCCUCUUGAUCCCAAUUACUGCAAAUUUCUAAAUCUUCUUAAUUCAUAAAAAGACUGAAAACAAAACACUAAGAGAAUCCACCUGGAAAAGGCUCUAGUUUAAAAGACAAAAAUAAAUCAAAAAAUUUGCUUUCUCUUUCUCUCUAGGACAAACUAUCAUGUGCUGAGGGUUGUAUGAACACAGAGGGAUUCUGAUCCUGGUUAUUUGGUUCUGACAGAGGAGAAGAGUCACCCAGAUUUCAAAAGUCUCCUCCAAUAAGCAUGGCAAAAUCAGACUCUUAAAAGCUGAGGGAACAGUCAUUUUGUUAUAUAUCAAGCUUUCUAUAGUAGGAUAUACUUUCGUUAGUUUUAAAUGGGAAGAACAGUUCAUUGUCCAAAUCAGAAUAAGUACCUGAAAAUAGAGCAAUGAAACUUACUUGCCUGUUUUGUAUGUGCAUGACGUAUUUCAUUUGCAUUCUUCCUCUCUACGGGCUGUAUGGAUGCAUAGCUUAUAGAAUCAUAGAAUCAUUUGAGUUGGAAGGAACCCUCAACGCAGCUGAUAUGAGUAUUAUUGUAUGGUUGUUAACUAUUGUAGUUGCAAUCACUGUGAGUGUAUAUGCGUGGAGUUCCCAGAAAUUACAGUCUAAUAAUUUUUGCUAUUACCAUAAUAAUUUCAAAACUAAGAAGCAUAAAAGUAGUAUUACUCUGGUAUAUGUGACAUAACAAAACCACAAAUUUACAAAAAAGCUUGCACAAAGUUACUUUGAACAGAGCUCUUUUUUUCUUUAAGGAUCAUUAGUGUCUCUCAAAUGUGACAAAGAUCCUACAACUCUUAAAAGCACAGAAAUUAUUUUAAUGAGAUGUACAUAUACACAAACUCUGAGAAUAAUUUAGGAAUGACACUAGAGAUCAUUUUAGGUACACAUAAUAUGAACAUUAAAAGGAAAUAUAUAAUUUUAAAUCUGUAGAAGGAUAGGAGUGGAGAACCCAAUUACCAUUUCUGCAAGAAUAGUAGCAUGCCAAAGUCAGGAACAAAAGAUGGUGAGGUAGAACAACCAAUUUUCAGCAUUCAAAACAGAUUUCUGCAAAAACUUUGCUAAACUAUUGAGCCUUGCUAGCUAAUAUAAUUACAGGAGCAGAUACUGAGGAAGGUUAUUAGAAGACUAACCUAAAUAUUCAUUAUAACAUUUUGCUUUAUAUAUAUUUUUUAAUCUAAACUUGUAUAGGUCUAAGAAUGAAUUCAGAUGGUAGAUGUAUUUGUACUUCUCUAACAAUAUAUCCAAAUGAAAUGGAAGAAUAUCCUAAAAAUUAAAUUAAAUUUUAAAAAGCCUGGCCAAUCACCCACAAAUUGCUAUAAAUGUAUAUCUCAGAAGCUGCAGUGAGCUUUGGACUCUAAAAUGAAAGUUUUAGUUUUAGGGUUGGUAUUUUGAAGCAUCAGAUCUCAGGGUAAAAGCUGGUAUGAGAGAAAUAAUCUGGAUCCCUUCUGACAAGAAACAAGCAGCACAGCAACAGAACAUAGCAUUGGCUGUCCCAAGAGAAUGACAACCUUAUUCAUUCUAUAUUUAUUUCUAUAAUUCUACCAAAAACUGCUAUUUUUGAAUCAUUUAUCUCAUCAGACAAGUAAAUAGUAAACACUGAAAAGAGAAUAUUAUACAGCCUU